rnacentral:rRNA from 1 species
AUUGAACGCUGGCGGCAGGCCUAACACAUGCAAGUCGAGCGGAGAGGCGGACGGGUGAGUAAUGCCUAGGAAUCUGCCUGGGGGUGGGGGAGCAAGUCCGGAGACGGGCGCUAAUACAGCAUACUUUCAGAUGAACCUAGGUCGGAUUAGCUAGUUGGUGGGGUAAAGGCGUACCAAGGCGACGAGCAGUAACUGGUCUGAGAGGAUGAUCAGUCACACUCGGACUGAGACACGGCCCAGACUCCAACGGGAGGCAGCAGUGGGGAAUAUUCGACAAUGGGCGCAAGCCUGAUCGAGACAUGCCGCGUGUGUGAAGAAGGUUUUCGGAUUGUAAAGCUCGUUUAGUUGGGAGGCGUUAUCAAAAGAAAAAGCCACGGCUAACUUCGUGCCAGCAGCCGCGGUAAUAC